rnacentral:rRNA from 1 species
UACGGAGGGGGCUAGCGUUGUUCGGAAUUACUGGGCGUAAAGCGCGCGUAGGCGGCUUUGUAAGUUAGAGGUGAAAGCCCGGGGCUCAACCCCGGAACUGCCUUUAAGACUGCAUCGCUUGAAUCCAGGAGAGGUGAGUGGAAUUCCGGGUGUAGAGGUGAAAUUCGUAGAUAUUCGGAAGAACACCAGUGGCGAAGGCGGCUCGCUGGCCUGGUAUUGACGCUGAGGUGCGAAAGCGUGGGGAGCAAACAGG